CUCUCACACAAUGCUCAAGCCUCUCUCUUCCCUCAUCUGCUGGCUGUAUGUCAAUGCAGGAUGAACUGGAAAGGCGUUUGUUGAAGACAGCGGAGCAUCUGUCAGGCUGUUUCUGAAAGACUGUGGAGCAGAAUACCCUGAAUUUCCACUGCCUCUAAUUGAUAUUAUGUGAGUGAGAGACAAAAUUCUAAUAUGUUAAGCUAUUGAGAUUUGGGGGGUGGUUAUUUCUUUUAGUACUAGCAUACUUUUAAUUAAUAGGAAUAUUGGCUUUGGAAAUGAGGUACAGCUCUCUAAUGAAAAGCUAAAAUAUGUGGAAUUGGCAUGACCGGUAAGGAAACUGUAUCAGACGAUGGGAAGACGGAGACCCACAUAAUACAGCGGUAAAAUAUGUGUUAAAACCGCCACUGGAGACAGCGUGAGGGCAGAUCAAGCCCUCACUGAGCCUGUAGCUCUAGGGGAAGAGAUUGGAAACCGAAUUUUGAGUUGUGUGUUGGUUGUACUGAUUUCAAUUAGGAAGAUAUUUAAAGGAAAAAAAAUGAGUCAGUAAGUAACCGGAUGAUUUUCAAGCAGAAAUAAAAACAAAUACAGAGAGAGAAGAAAUUUGGGGCAUCUAAGAGUUGGAAAAACUAACUGCUUCUAGACCUCAAACAAUAGGAAAAAAGAUUGAAAAUGCCUUUAAGUGAUGGCCCUGUGACAAACACCAGAUUAAGGGCAUAGUCUUUCCCAAGACUCUCAUACUCCUGCAUGACCUCAAGGAUGCUGGCGUUAAGCUGUGUGUAUGUAAGAAAGGCGUGAGGGUGAGGAAGCACGCAAAGAAAUCAAGAUUAAUAAUUAUGUUUAGGAAAGAACUGUGGGUGGGGUUCCUGGCAUGUGGAAGUAAAUGGAUCAGAAGCCUACUAAGUAAAAACAUAUUGCCAAAGAAAUCACAGGCCUGGACUGAAAAAGCCUUUGACUGCUUGAGCCUUAAAAGCAUCCUUGGACCCCCAAACUUGCAAGAUCAAGAAAUGGGCUGAAAAAGCUGCUCAGUCUCCCUGGAGGAAGUCUCCACUCCCACUGCAAACAUGACCAAGAAGCAGAGGGACCAGGACAGGCCUCCCAGAGGGCAAAGCAACAACCAUGGGGAAAAACGGAGAGAGAGGCUUCUUGCCGAAAGCAGAAUCAUGGUCAAGGGAGCUGCUGCAGCCAUUUUUCUGCCACAAGCAAAUGCUAAACCUUCGAAGCAGCACCACACAGUUCCUGGGUUAUAAAGGCUUUGUUCCUCAGAUGCUCAGGUCCCCAGAAGGUCAGCUCUCUGGGGCAGGCCAAGCCUGUAGUGUUCACUGGCUUCUCCACAAGCUUAUACACCAGGAACUUCAAAAAGGGAGCGACCCAGGCAUUUCUCACUCGGAGAUGCCCUGCACUGGAAUGUGCUGUGUGCUCAGCCUCACCCUCCUCUGAAUCAUCGCCUCCAGUUGGCACUUUACGCCUCUGGCCACCUUCUGUCUCCUAGCAUCGUUCUUUAUGCAGCUGUCUUAUCUGUCUCACAGGACUGUGAGCUUAAUUCCCAAUGGUCAUCCCCGCCAUCGCCAUCGUAAAGUACCUAGUCUGUUUUCUACGUGUGAAACCAUUUGAGUCUUUCGUACUAUUUGUUGCAGAUGCCUUCCAAGGUGCUCGUAAAUGUUCACUAAUUCUUGCAUGAAUAAGUUGAGAUCAUUUUCAAUCUAAAGGAAACUUUUUGUCCUUAGAAGAACUAGUUUUCCUGCUUUAGACAAUAAAGGUUGGACAACGGAGGUGUCUGGCUUGCUCUCCUCCUUCUUUGUUAUAAUAACAAGCAUGUAGUUGUCUGUCUCCCAUAAAAAAACUCUCCCCUGAAUUGCCACAGUCUCAAAAGUCUUAGCGAGUUAUGA
ensembl:lncRNA